rnacentral:rRNA from 1 species
AACGCAGCGAAGGGCGAUACGUAAUGUGAAUUGCAGAAUUCAGUGAAUCAUCGAAUCUUUGAACGCACAUUGCACUCUCUGGUAUUCCGGAGAGUAUGCUUGUUUGAGUAUCUGUAAACAUCUCAAAUCUCUCGACUUUCGAGUUUGAGAGAAUUGGACUUGAGCAAUCCCAACUCCUUCGUCAGAAAGAGGAGGGUUGCUUGAAAAUGCAGGUGCAGCUGGGCAUUCUUCUGAGCUAAAAGCAUAUUUAUUUAGUCCCGUCAAACGGAUUAUUAUUCUUGCUUCAGCUUACAUAAAGGUUGAAGAGUCGCUAUGGCUGACUGAUGCAGGAUUUAACAUGUCGCGCAAGCGAUCUGUAAACUCGAUCUCAAAUCAAGCAAGACUACCCGCUGAACUUAA